CAUCAAUUGAGAUGAUCAUAUGAUUUUUAUCCUUGGCUCUAUUGAUAUAGUGUAUUACAUUGAUUGAUUUGUGUAUGCUGAACCAUCCCUGCAUUGCUGGGUUGAAUCCCACUUGGUCAGGGUUUAUGAUCUUCUUGAUGAUCUUCUGCAUUCUGUUUGCCAGUAUCUCAUUAAGGAUUUUUGCAUCUAUGUUCAUUAGUGAGAUUGGUCUAUAGUUUGGUUGGGUCUUUCUCUGCUUUGGGGAUCAAGGUGAUGCUUCCUUCCAGGAAUGAAUUUGGGAGUAUUGCUGCCCUUUCAAUUUCAUUGAAGAGUUUAAACAGUAGUGACAGUAGUUCCUCUCUAAAUGUCUUGUAGAAUUCAGCAGUGAAGCCAUCAGGACCCAGGCUUUUCUUAGUUGGACUGGCAGGAACUGUGGGUGGAUGAUGCCAUCUGGAAGUUGCUGUUCUCCAUGAUAUUCUUUGUCAUCAUGAUUCUCUGGCAACCAUCGACAAAUAACCAAAGGUUCUUGGACUCUUUAUUCUGUUGAGCCUGACAUGUCUAGUCUUUAUUGGGGCUGUUUCAUCCUGCUUGUGUGGCUGACCUUUCAUUUCCAACCCUUCCUGGUGGCCGAGCUAAUGGCUUCAGUCUCCAUUUCUUCCAUGAGAGACUUUUGUUUGUAUUUUCAUUGUAAUUUACAUAGAAAUUUAUUUCUGAUGUUAUCUUGUAGGUUUUACAAGCAAGUAAACAAGCUUAUGUGAAAAUGUUGAUGUCUAUUCUAAGCACCCAUUACAUAUUUGAUAUUUUAUUUUAUUGAUAUCUUAUUUUCCUGCUAAGUACACAUUAUACAAUAUAAUAAGACAUUCCCGACAAAAGAAGAAGACAAGAAAAGUUACAAAAAACAGAUUCACUGAGAGAGAAAUAGGGCAAUCCAUUCCUUUCACAAUAAGGUACAAGAACAGCCUGCCACAUAGGAAAGAAAAGCUAAGCACGUGUGGUAUCAGUGUAAGACUUGUGUAUGGAACAUGCAGUUGUCCUGUUUGAAGGCUGCUGUGGGUGUGACAGUUGAAGUAAAGAUUAUGUUUGUUGUAGAGUUCUUUUGGUAUUUUUAUUGUAGCUCAUAUAAGAAUUUUUUGGGGGUACCAGAAAUCAAACUCAGGACCUUGUGCUUGCCAGACAGGUCCAGAGCUCAUAUAGGAAUUUAUUCCUGUUAUAUUUUAGAUUUUGAUUUUGUGAACAAAUAUUUGAUGUUGAAAAUGAUGUUUAAACUGGUAUACACAAGUCACACUGGAUGCUGGGGUGUGUCUUUCCUUUCCCUGGAGGGACUCAUGAGUGCUGAGAUACAGCUGGGGUACAUGAUGGCGCACACCUGGAAUUCCCCCACUGGGAACCUGAGUUUGAGCCUGGCCUGAGGUACAGUGUGCAUCUGAAAUCUGGAUUACAGAGCAAGAUCCUGUCUCAAAAAGAGUUGUUUAGUGUUUCAGUACAAAGGGAGUAAAAAUCCUGAGCUGUUAUCGGUAUCUUUCAGAGGCAUAAUGAAGGACCCAGGGGGGCUUGUCCUCCUUUUGCUCUAGAGACUUAGCAAAGGCUGACAGCCACGCAGAUGGUUAGAAUUAAAGUAACACUGCCCCAGUUUUGGUAUGGCAGAGGUCAUGGAAUGAGUCUGGUGGCAACUGUUCCACCCAUUCUAUUAUGAAGAUGCAGGUCAAACACAUCAAAGGUUCUCUUAGCUGAAAAUGAAGACCCAGCACUCCUUUAGGAAAAUGUUUCAUACCACACACAAAGUCAGAGUUGUUGGAAAGGAGAUUUUAUUUUCUUCUUCCUAUGCUAUGGAAGAACAUUAUGUUCCUGUUUCAUUUCCUCCCUCAAGGAGAAAAAGGAUAGCAGUUCUCUGGGUCUCAGGACUAAGCUGCUCCCACAGGUCCUAGCCAAGACAAGACACGGAGACUGGUGACUGACUCCUAUCUGCCAGCUAGCUGAUCAACCACCACUGAAGGGCAGACAAGUGACUGAAAGGCAAGUUGUAGACUUGGCCUCAGAGACCAACAGUUCAAACCGUGAGGUGAUCAAAAUGAUAAAGUAAACAGCACCCAGGAUGCAGCUGUCCACGGAGCCCGCAUCUCUGCAUUCUGGCCACUUAAGUUAAGCAGUGUCUAAAGGGGCACAGCCUCCCAGCCUGUCACAGGAAUGGUCAACUCCAGGCCCAAGGCUCUCUGACCAUUCUCCUUGGCUUUGACUUUCAAGUGAAAGGGCAGGGUUCUAGCAAAUCCUCCAAGCCAAGCCAGUCCAAGGAAGGUGUACCAUGGCAGAGGCUCUGGACAUACACAGGGAACCCUAUGUACAGAACCCCUCUCAGGGGCUCUUCAGGGCUCUGAAGCUGAACCCUCAUCUGAACCACCUAAGCAGCCAAGUGAAUUACAAGGAGGCAAAGUAGCUCAAUGGAAGUGUGAACAGGUGGAUGGCCAGGGACUAAGACCCAGGAGACAGUAAGUUUCCUCAGCAGAGCUCUUCCAAACAUGAGCUUCAAGGUUUCUUUCCUUUUCAAAAAGUCACAACCAAAAUCCUGCUGUCCUGAACUCGUUUUCUAGGAAUGAGCAACAGGGAAGAACCAAAAUAAACUUGGGAUAAUGAUGAGUGUAUUUUUAGGCUAAGUGUGUGGUUUGCUAAUUGAGAAGGUACCAAAAAGAUCUCCAGACAGAGAAGUGGGAGCACUUGCUAUUCCUUCAGGCAAAAGCGGAGCUACUGAACAGAAAGAGUGGUGAGGCAGCCACUGCAUCUUUCCCAUUUUUUAAAGGGAAGUAUGUGUGACAUGUUGCCUUCUCCAUCCCAGCCUCUCAGAGAACCAGCUGCCUUCCAUAUUUUAUGAGGAAAAUUGUAAACCCACCAGUACCCGGGCUGAGUUCCCACUGCUGCUAGUUCUGAGGACGUAUGAGACAGGGUCUUGCUUGUAGGAUGACAAAGUUACAGUUUGGAUUUUGUGAAGCAUAGUUAAAAGUCAGAGCUGCCCCUAAAGACACAAAAUAAACUUAUUUCCCUUCCUAAAAAAAUGUACAAAAAGAGAAAAUGGUGUUUAUUUGAAAUGUGCAAUACAUAUUAUGAAUCGAAUGCUUUGUUGAUAUUUUAUGUUCCUGUUUACUACAAAUUGUAUAAUAAGAACCUCCUGACAAAACAGCAAGAUAGCAAGAUGUCUACUAUGUCCUACAAAAAAGAUAGGAAAGCAAAACACAUGUGCUAUCAGUGUAAAUGAUACAUGCAUGCUGUUUUCAUGUGUGAAGACUGCUUUAGGUAUGAUAAUUGAAGUAAAGAUUAUUUUUGUUGUAAAGUUCUAUUGGUAUUUUCAUUAUAAUGAUGGAGCAAUAAUACACAAUAAGAUUGGCCCUUGCCUUUCCCUUGCCUUGCCUCCAUUUUUUUUUUUUUUCCACAAAAUGUUUUGUCUCAGAAAUGUGACAGUUUGUGCUGCUGGGCAGCAGCUCCUGCCCAAUGUAUCAAAAUGUUUUGUGACUGAAUUAUGUGACCUUUCAGGAAUGUUCUGUUAAAUUCUGCCCCCUCUGCUUCAGGAAUGUUCUGUAACUCUGCCCUCCUUGCUUCAGUGUGCAUGCUCACCUAUCCUGUAGAUCCCUAUUUAAGGAGGCUCUCAUUUCUGGUAGAGCGCUCACACUUCAAGUAUGAACUCCUCUGAGCCUGCCAGUGUAAUAAACGUUUUCUCCACCUCUUCGAGUGACCAUCAGAUUCUAGAGUCUUCAAAUUGAGAGAGCUGGGGUCCAGAUCUGCCACACUGAGCUGUAAAGCUCAGCUGUGCCUUCGGAGCUGUGGCACUUGGCUGCAACCCUGAGCUGUAGGGCCGGGGAUUUAGCGCAGUGGUUUUGCUGCCUGCUGCACAAGGACCACAGUUCAAUCUCCAGUACCAAAAAAACCCCAAAAACAAAAACAAAAAUACCCCAUUGAGCUGUAACACUCAGCUGUGCCUCUGAGCUGUGGUACUUGGCUGCGACACUGAGCUAUAACACUUGGCUAUGGCACUGAGCUUCUCUGCCGCAACAGUAGUUCAUAUAGAUAUUUGUUAUUUUUUAGACUUUAAGAAGUUGAUGUUGAAAAUGAUGCUUAUUUAUAAACACUAUUAAAAAUUCAGUAUUUAAAAAUUUUUACACAAUAUAAAACUCAAAAUUAAAAUUAAUUCAUCAGUAUAAAUACUUCUAAAAAGAUAAAUGUGGGUGUUAUACACCCCCAUGAUGCUCCUUUAAUCUAAAAUUGACAUGAUCCCCCAAUAAGGGUACUUUUUCAAGGCUGUUUACAGAUUUGUUGGCAGCCAGUCAGAUUUAAAAAUGUAACAAUCUGAGACCAAAGGAAAAAAGAAAAAGAAGGACACUUUAAAAUCCAAGUGGCUGCAGCGAAGUUUGUUUUAGCCUGUGGCAAGUACAGUGUUACCUCAGUUCAUGAAUGCUUUUGUUUGCAAGCAGUUUGGUUUGGCAAAAUUUUUCUUUUGUUUGUGAACACUGUGUCAGGUGAUAAACAUGACUGCAGUCAUCUUUCCUACAUGAACAUGAAUAUGGCUGUCUUUUCCAGAAUCAUGGGACAAAUUAAGUUUGUGAACCAAGGGACCACUGUAGGACAGAGAAAAUAUAGAAGAAGCUUUAAGUAUAGAGAUACAUUUUUGAUGUGAGGAUUUUGUAUGAUAAAGUUAAGAAAGAGGGAAAUAAUGACAGACCUGGAAGACUUAAGCAUGUCAAAAAGUUUGUGGAAGAUACAGUUUAUAGAAAGAAAUACGUAUGUUUAUUUUAUGCUUUGCUCUUGUUAGUUUGAUUAAGCCCAAACUAUUUCUUUUAAUAAAUCCUUGUUGCUCAAAGAAGAUUAGGGGGCUAUAAUCCUGACUCUCAUCAGUCACUUCUCAUUUCUCAGCUCUCCUCUCUGGUUUAACUGGUGCUUUCAGGCAAAGGGUAUAAUUCUCCUUUCUGAGAUUAAUAUUAGCUGGGCCUGGGGGCCAGGUAUUUAGCUCAGUGGCACUGCUCCUGGCUCAAAAGCACAAGGUCCUGAGUUCGAUCCUCAGUACAAAAAAAAAAAGGCUGGGCCUCGUAGUGCAUGCUUUAAUUCCAGCACUUAGAAGAUGAGGCAGGAGGAUUGCCACGAGUUUAGAGGCCAGCCUGG
rnacentral:lncRNA from 1 species